rnacentral:rRNA from 1 species
GACGAACGCUGGCGGCGUGCCUAAUACAUGCAAGUUGAGCGAUGAAGCUUGGUGCUUGCACCAAUUUGAAGAGCAGCGAACGGGUGAGUAACGCGUGGGGAAUCUGCCUUUGAGCGGGGGACAACAUUUGGAAACGAAUGCUAAUACCGCAUAACAACUUUUAACAUAAGUUUUAAGUUUGAAAGAUGCAAUUGCAUCACUCAAAGAUGAUCCCGCGUUGUAUUAGCUAGUUGGUGAGGUAAAGGCUCACCAAGGCGAUGAUACAUAGCCGACCUGAGAAGGUGAACGGCCACAUUGGGACUGAGGCACGGCCCAAGCUCCUACGGGAGGCAGCAGUAGGGAAUCUUCGGAAAUGGAGGGAAGUCUGGCCGAGCAACGCCGGGUGGGGGGAGAAGGUUUUCGGAUCGUAAAACUCUGUUGGUAGAGAAGAACGUGGGGGAGGGUGGAAAGCUCAUCAAGUGACGGUAACUACCCAGAAAGGGACGGCUAACUACGUG